rnacentral:rRNA from 1 species
UACGAGUGCCCCAAGCGUUAUCCGGAAUCAUUGGGCGUAAAGGGUGUGUAGGUGGUUUCUUUAGUCUCCUGUCAAAAUUUUGGGCUCAACCCAAACCUCGCAGGGGAAACGGAGAGACUCGAGGGUGCGAGAGGUGAAUGGAACUCAUGGAGUAGGGGUGAAAUCCGUUGAUAUCAUGGGGAACACCAAAGCGAAGGCAAUCACUGGCGCAUCCUGACACUGAAACACGAAAGCGUGGGUAGCGAACGGG